rnacentral:lncRNA from 1 species
GUUUUGGAGUAGAUUAUGGCUCAUUGCAUGAGAUGGGAUUUCACUUUAGGUGCAACCUAGCUUUCAUGGACUCCUUGGCAUUUAUGCUAUGCCUCUACCAUGCAUCUUAAAUAUUUCUUGCUUUUGAUACAAGAAUCUUAAAGUAUUUAAUGAUGCAGGGUAAUGAUACUAAUAAUAACAAUUAGAUUGGGAAAAGUACCAUAGAAUGGAAGGACAUUUUGCAGGAGAAUUACCUCUGGCUUGAUUUGAGCCAAUAAAAUUGCAACUCCAAUCCAACCCAAGUCCAAUCCUGCACUCAACACAAUCUAGAAAUCAUAUAAAACUUUUUCUUUUUUUAUUGCAAAUAUCUUUCCCAAAAUAGACUCCCAUUGAAACUAAUUUAUUUUAAAAAAGAAGCUUUAUGGAAUCAAGAUCAUUGGACAAUUUUUAAUUUUUUUUAAUUAUUUUUAAUAUAUAUAUAAAAUAAAUUUAAUAAAAUAGAUAAUAAAAUCAAAUAUCAUUAAGAAAGUUACAUUCCAUGCAUCGUAUAGGGUUAUAAGCUAGUAUUUAAUUAUAAUAGUGAAUAGCCAAAUGCAAAUGCACAUGUUUGAAAGGGCAAUUUUUUUUUUCAAAAUCAACUUCCAGUCUUAAUAUUAGAGAUUACUAAAUAUCAUUUAGAAACCCAAAAGGUAGUGCUAAUUAAUCUUCAUGGAACAUUGUAAUUCUCCAAUGAAGCUUAUUAAGGCAACGUCUAUAACUGACAUGCCUAACUAAAACUUUCUAUUAUGGUGGUAUCAUAGAUACCUCAGAUUUACAGCUUUAUGAGCUAUGACUAUACUGUGAUGAGGCAUAUUGUGAAGAGCUACCUUCAUAUGAGCUGAGCUGACCUUGAUAUGAGUUUCUCUAUAUUGAUAUGAGGUAUCUUGAGCAUCUAUGCUGAUAUGAGCUGAGCUCAAAAGCAAUAAAUGUCCCCACGUAGAGAGCACAUGAAGGCUAAAAUCUUUCUUGAUUGACAACCUAUGCAAUUAAUAGGUGAGAUCCUUAUCUGCCAUGAGGUGACACCACUCAUUCAAUAAGGCCAAAAAAUCCAGCAUGGACUUUAAGGUUAUUCAAAAGGAGUAUUCAAAUUCUCCACUCAGUAUGCUAUCGAUAAUAGUCUAUUGGGAAUUAUGUCCUAAAGCCAAUCGUUUGACGAUUGUGUUAAUUAUAAAUAUAUAUGAAUUAAUCAAUAAUAAAAAAUAUUUGAUCUUUUUCAUCACAAGGUUAUAUCUUCUAACGAACUCCUAUAUUGUGAUGAAAUCCUUAGGACUACUUUAAUCGAUAAAAGAAGAUUUAUCUCGUAGUCUUUAAACUAGUUCACGAUCAAAUGAUAUGCUAUUACUAGGACGAUAGCGAUAUCAAGUGUAGGUCAUUAUGUACCAUAUGCAUUAAUUAUCCUCGUAACCA